UUUGUCUAUUUUCAUAUGUAUGCUCAGAAUUGAGUUGAAAAAUAUGUUUAAUAGUUGAGGUUUGCUCUUUUUUAACUUAUUUCUGCUUUGUGUAUUUUUUAAGCGAGCUAGUUUGGUUAACCAAAGACGUGGACAAUUAGAAACAUGGCUGCGACAAGUAAUCACCCAUCUGUUAUCAACAGAUCCUCUUCUGUCUUCCAAGCACAACCUAAUCAUCACAGUGCCUUUUCUAGGGGAAAACUUCUGUCCGUCCAGUGAUGAUAGAGGGAGUGGCUCUCAAUCUCGAAAUUCAGACGCAGCCAAUAUGAGUACAACACCACAGUAUAUGGGUCUUUGACAUAGUAUCAAUGUAAUCAUAACAUUGUCAAUUUCAUCUAAAUGUGUUAUUUUUGCUCUCUAUUCUGAGGUACUGUCUUGCUCCUCGUCACACAUAUAUUUUAUGAAAUUUUUCUCUCCAGGUUUUUAGCAUUCUUAAACUAUUUAUAUUUUUCAUGUAGACUCUUCUUUAAUAAUCAUAUGAACGAGAAAAUAUAAAAUGACGCCACAGUUAUAGAAAGAACUGCCUUGACUUGACUCUCAUACAAUCGUACUUUACGAAAUUUAUUUUUAUAAGGUGAUCACCGAGCUUCUUUUGUAAGAAAAACUUUUUAUUUACAUAUGGUGUGCAACCGAAUCAAUUGAAGUUAUCUGUACUCAGAAUCUGUUUUUUUGGGAGUCAGUACAUAAUCGAGAACAUGCUCUUGCUUCCUAUCUGGCUUUGACACAGUUUAAGAAAAUCCCGAGCAUUUCAAUGGCUAAAUGAAGAAAAAUGCAUGUUUCAAUGACAACAUUAUAAAUCUCUAAUUAUGAUUAUUUUUUUCCAGAAAAACCAAAUCAAAAUUUUACCUUGAAAUCUUGUGUGAAUUCUUCUAGAAUACAGGACAAAAAUUUCAAUAGAAACUGUUUAUUCAUAUUCAUAUUCCUUUGAAGAAAUGAAUUAUGAGCAGAGACUUAAAAUGUAGCGAACUGCAAUAUGCAUUUUUUCACGUAAGCCAUCGAAUUUAUUGAAAAUAAUUAUCAGCAGAAAAGUUGAAGAAUGUGUAUUCUUUUGAGAUCUUAAAAUCGUUCAUGUCCACUUCCUAGAUAUUUCCAAGGGACGUUAUAUGUUUCUCACUUAGACUUGAAAUUUUACGCAAAGAAUAUCAGGAUUAAGACCAAGCCUUACAAAUAAACAUUUUAUCCCAUCUGAAACUGAUGGAUUGAACAUUUUCACUAAUUGAAGGGAAGGCAUAAAUUAUUUAUAUUGCAAAUACAGAAGUAGGUAUAACAAUUUAAAUUAGGGUAUCCAAUGAAACAACAGUAAAGUUACGCCAAUCUGCUAAUCACUUUCUCUAUAAUGUUUUUAAGAAAACUACUGAGCCUCAUUUUUUAAAUUUAAUAAUCCUUUGAGGAAUAGUUCAUGAAAGGGAGAGAUCACUCAAGCGUUAUUCGAGUUUAUAAUAGACACAUUUUUUCUUCUUAGAAACGUUCUCUCAUCUUGGAGUAAUGAAGUGGCUUCAAGCCGCCAAGCUCUUCCAAUUUCUUUUUUCCUACCUAAUAAUUAAAAAAAAAAAACCCCCAUUAAUUGCAGAUAUGUAUGAACCAUUGUAAAAAUGUCUAGUUUUUCAAAAUUCCUACGUUUCCAUCUAACCCUUGGAUCCACUUUAACUACUGUAUGAUGGUUUUCAUGAGUUUGUUUUUGUUAAAAAGUAUAUAUAGAUUUUAGAGAAUUUGUAAUUUGUUACGAUUUUAUAUAUCCAUACUUGUCUGCAUUUGUUUGUUUUUCUCUAGUCGUAUUGUAAGAUACAAUUGAAAUUUUCCUUUUUUAAAGUAUGUUAGAAAUUCUGUAAACUGUGAGUAUUAAUAGUUAUGAACUUAUACAAAUAAGGACAUAGUGUCGCUAUUUUGUUGGAAUUUUCUCCAAACAUUGAUCUGUAAGAAAGCAUUCAAGAUUAUGCAAUGUAAUUUGUAUUAAUUAUUACAAAUCUUAAAAUAAAAAUAUGUAUGUUACUUUGUUUAUAUUAUUAUUGCUCUAUGUUGCUGUGAAUUAUUUUUUACUCAAAAAAUUAAACAAGGAAUGAACCAAUAUAUGUAUUUAUUUUUUAACUUAGAAUUAUAAUUAAGUAUAGUGGGUACUUAGAGCAUAACUCUUAUGCAUCCUCUUCGAUU
rnacentral:lncRNA from 1 species